rnacentral:rRNA from 1 species
GACAUAGGUGGCAAACGUUAUCCGGAUUUACUGGGCGUAAAGGGCGCGCAGGCGGUCUUGAAAGUCAGGCGUGAAAGCCCCGGGCUUAACCUGGGAAUUGCGCUUGAUACUCUGAGACUGGAGUACGGGAGAGGAGAGUGGAAUUCCCAGUGUAGAGGUGAAAUUCGUAGAUAUUGGGAAGAACACCAGUGGCGAAGGCGGCUCUCUGGACCGUAACUGACGCUGAGGCGCGAAAGCGUGGGGAGCAAACAGG